UGGCCCCGGCCGAGGUGCGGGUCGCCCCAAGAGAUCCUGUGCCUUCAAACCCUACGAGUCCAUACUUUAAAACAAAAUGAAGAAAUUAAGGCUUAAGGAACUAGAGAGUCGCCUGCAACAAGUGGAUGGAUUCGAAAAGCCCAAGCUACUUCUAGAACAGUAUCCUACCAGGCCGCACAUUGCAGCAUGUAUGCUCUAUACAAUCCAUAACACGUAUGAUGACAUUGAAAAUAAAGUCGUUGCAGAUCUAGGAUGUGGUUGUGGAGUACUUAGCAUUGGAACUGCAAUGUUAGGAGCAGGGUUGUGUGUUGGAUUUGACAUAGAUGAAGAUGCAUUGGAAAUAUUUAAUAGGAAUGUGGAAGAGUUUGAGUUAACAAAUAUUGACAUGGUUCAAUGUGAUGUGUGCGUAUUAUCUAACAGAAUGUCCAAGUCAUUCGAUACAGUGAUUAUGAAUCCUCCCUUUGGGACCAAAAAUAAUAAAGGGACAGAUAGGGCUUUUCUAAAGACUGCUUUGGAAAUGGCAAGAACAGCAGUAUAUUCCUUACACAAAUCCUCAACUAGAGAACGUGUUCAAAAGAAAGCUGCGGAAUGGAAAAUCAAGAUAGAUACUAUAGCAGAGCUUCGAUAUGACCUGCCAGCAUCAUACAAGUUUCAUAAAAAGAAAUCAGUGGACAUUGAAGUGGACCUAAUUCGGUUUUCCUUUUAAAAGCCCCUGCAAACAAAAGUAGUUUAAAACCUAUUUAAAAUGAAUAAAAAAUUAGUUUACUAAAAAAAAAA